AUUGAACGCUGGCGGCGUGCUUAACACAUGCAAGUCGAUCGGUAACAGGUGUAGCAAUACAUGCUGACGAGAGGCGGACGGGUGAGUAAUGCUUGGGAAUCUGCCUAUUAGUGGGGGACAACCCGGGGAAACUCGGGCUAAUACCGCAUACGCUCUACGGAGGAAAGCCGGGGACCGCAAGGCCUGGCGCUAAUAGAUGAGCCCAAGUCGGAUUAGCUAGUUGGUAGGGUAACGGCCUACCAAGGCGACAAUCCGUAGCUGGUCUGAGAGGACGACCAGCCACACCGGAACUGAGACACGGUCCGGACUCCUACGGGAGGCAGCAGUGGGGAAUAUUGGACAAUGGGGGCAACCCUGAUCCAGCGACGCCGCGUGGGUGAAGAAGGCCUGCGGGUUGUAAAGCCCUUCGGUGGGAAGAAAAGUCUCGACCUAAUACGUCGGGACCUUGACGUAACCCACUAAAGAAGCACCGGCUAACUCUGUGACAGCCGCCGCCGUAAG
rnacentral:rRNA from 1 species